AACUCAAAAAGUGCUAUUAUUUUGCAAGGAUGGAAAAAGGAAAUGGAGUUCCGGUAGCUAACGGGAAUGGCCAUGCGAAUGGUCACGUAGUGCCUCCUAAGCCUAUCUUCUACCGAGCGCUAGGUGCGGGAGUUCGAGUACGCUAUUCCCCAUCUGACCGAUAUCCUCGAUGUUCGUGUAGGGUUACCUUUGCCUACCCGAACCACCUUGUACUUGCUCUAGACGACGAGCGUCGUCAGCUAGUGAAUAUUAACAGGGAUCCUCAGACAGAGGUGGAUGAGUUUAGACAGAUGGUUAGCGCUUAGGACGAGAGGAUCGCUAAGCUCGAGGAGGUGAUAGAGGGCGAGAUAGCUACAUCUGCUAUUGUUAAUGAGGAGAUUCGGAGCACCAGGACUCAACUUACUAGGUUGAGGGAGGAGGUUCGUGGUAGGGCUUCCAGAAUCCUAGUUGAUGCCACUAGGCUAGUGGAUGAGGAGAUGGGUGUAGCUCAGAGCUUUGAGGAGGAGGAGGAGGUUCCUCCUGAUAGUCCUACUACGGACUAGGUCUAGGCAAUUUGGCCUCUCUUUUGACCCUUUUGACUAGUAUAGUUAGAAUUAGUUGGGGUGACGCUAAGUGCUGAGGCCAUUGUAUUUUGCAUGACUGUGUGGCUUAUUUUGAAGCACUUGUUUUUACUUUAGUCUUUUAUGACUAAAACUAUUUUGUAGCACCUGUGUGCUAUAUUUUUGUGAUUUUCCCCAUGACUUGCUAAUUGUACGAACUUGACAUGUUAAUGAAUGUAAAUUAUUGACAUUUCCAAUGUUCUCUUGAUUUGUUCCUACUUUCUACUUUGCACCGCAUAAUUGACUUAUUUCUUGCACUAGGCACGCUUAGGUUAUGGAAGAGCUAAGAAGGGGUCAAGGCCGUGGGUGAGGGAUUAGACAGACCCAACCUCAGAGGAAUGACCAGGGAUCGGAAACUAGACCGAUCCAAGGCCAGGAAAAUAUUGAGGGUAAUCAAGUGGCUAUUGCCUUUAAUAGGAUGGCUGAUAUCCUAGAACGCUUAACUGAUAGACAAGGUUCUGAACCGCUUAACCAAACUGGGGGACAGGAUAGCAGUGAGGAUAGAGUCUUAGAGAGGUUCUUGAAAUUUAACCCAUCUAAGUUCCUUGGUGAACUUGAUCUGGAGGUAGCAGAAAAUUGGUUAGAAAGGAUGACCAACAUAUUCACUGUUUUAGACUACACUGAGGAUAGACGAGUGAAUUUUACAGCCUUCCAGUUUGAGGGAGUAGCUCGUGCUUGGUGGGACAUGGUGAAAGGAAAAUGGGAAAGAGUUCAAACCCCUUGAACUUGGGAGAAUUUUACGAGAGAGUUUAAUGAAAAGUUUCUUCCACCCUUAAUCCAGGAGAAGAGGGAGAAUAAAUUUAUCAAAUUGAAACAGAGGACCCUUAGUGUAGCGGAAUAUGAAGAAAAAUUCACUAAACUUUCAAAGUACGCUCCUGAACUGGUUAACUAAUGAAUGGAAGAGGAUAAGGCGAUUUGUACAAGGGCUCAAUGUGGAAAUUCAAGAGGGUUUGGCCGCAACCCAAAUCUCUACAUUUACUGAAGCUCUAGAGAAAGCAUAAAGGGUUGAGAGUGCAAGAUUUCAAGUGAGAGACUUUCACAAUAGGAAGCGAUAUUUUUUUGGCUCUGCAUCUAGACAGGCUAGUAAGAUUGCACAACCUUCCAAAAUGGGAAGAGGAGCGGGAGGAACAAGGGUUGUUGGAGCUUCUAGGGGAGCUCUAUCUAAAGGAGGUCGUGGUGGUCCAACUCAAGUUAGGGGAGCGCCUUCUACUGGUUCGACAGUGACCCCUCAGGUUACUUAUGGGUACUGUGGGAAACUCAAUCACUCCGAAAAUGACUGCUGGAGAGAGUCGGGGAAGUGCUUGUUUUGUAGUAGUGCCGAACAUCAAGUCGCGAAUUGUUCGAAAGCAUCAAAAAUGGGAAGUAACACUCAGAGGUCAGAAAAGUCAACCUCUAAGCAGACCAGUGCUGGAGGAAGUCGACCGAAAAUGCCGGCUAGAAUUUAUGCGCUAGACUAUCAGCAGGUUCCUGAGGCGACUGAAGUGGUUGAAGGUACCAUUCCAAUCUUUUAUCGUUUAGCUUGGGUUUUAAUUGAUCCGGGUGCAACACAUUCUUUUAUAAACCCUAACUUUAUGAGUGGGAUAGAUUUGAAACCAAUUAAGUUACCGUAUGACUUGGAAGUUAAAACACCUACUGGAGAUCAAAGUUUAAUUGCUAACCUGGUAUAUAGAGAUUGUGAAGUCUGUAUCGGGGAACGAAAACUAUUGGCCGACUUGGUAGGUUUAGCAAUUAAGGGAUAUGAUGUGAUUUUAGAGAUGGAUUGGCUAGCCCGUUAUAAUGCCUAGUUGAAUUGUAGGAUGAAAAUUGUAGAAUUCUGUAUUCCAGGGGAGGCAACCCUGAAUCUGGGUGUAAGGGGUAAAUUGGUUUCAUCUGCACUUAUUUCAGGAAUUCGGGCUAGAAAAUUAUUAAGUAAAGGAGCUCAAGGGUAUUUGGCUUUUCUUAUUAACACCCCUAGUGAUAAGGUGAGUUUGGAGAACAUGCCUGUAGUGAAAGACUUUCCAGACGUUUUUUUCGAAGAGUUAGAGUCUCUACCCCCAGAACCGGAAAUAGCUUUUAAGAUUGAUGUAACUCUGAGAGUAGCAUCUAUCUCUAAAACACCAUAUCGGAUGGCACUAGUUGAGUUGAAGGAGUUGAAAUUGCAACUACAAGACUUGCUAGAAAGGGGUUUUAUAAAAGAGAGUGAUUCUCAGUGGGGAACCCCAGUUUUGUUCGUUAAGAAAAAAGACGGAAGUUUGAGGCUAUGUAUAGACUAUAGAGGCUUGAAUGAGAUCACUAUUAAGAAUAAGUAUCCGUUGCCUCACAUCGAUGAAUUAUUUGACCAAUUGCAAGGGGCUAUAGUAUUCUCGAAACUGGAUUUGAGACAGGGUUAUUAUCAGUUGAGGAUUUUGGAAAAGGACAUACCUAAGACUGCUUUUAACUCGAGAUAUAGGCAUUUUGAAUUUGCUGUGAUGCCGUUUGGGUUAACGAAUGCACCUGCUGCUUUCAUGGAUUUAAUGCAUAGGGUCUUUAAAGCUUAUCUAGAUCAAUUUGUGGUGGUCUUUAUUGAUGACAUUUUAGUGUAUUCUAAGAAUGUGAAGGAUUAUGAGAAGCAUUUGAGAAUCGUUUUGCAAACUUUGAGGGAGCAUCAAUUAUAUGCUAAGUUUAGCAAGUGUGAGUUCUGGUUAAAAGAAAUGACUUUCUUGGGACACAUAAUUUCUAAGGAUGAGAUUAAAGUGGAUCUAGUUAAAGUUGAAAAUGUUUCAAAAUGGAAACGAUCGGAAAAGCCUACCGAGGUUUGGAGUUUUAUUGGAUUAGCAGGGUAUUACCGGAGAUUUAUCAAAAAUUUUUCUAGAAUUGUGGGACCACUGACCGAGUUGACGAAGAAAAAUGAAAAAUUUAUUUGGAGUUCUAAGUGCGAAGAGAGUUUCCAAGAAUUGAAAGGACGUUCAACCAAAACCUUAGUAUUAGCUCUACCCAUUGGGAAGGAUAGUUUUGUGGUUUACACAGAUGCAUCUAAGGAAGGUCUAGAGUGUGUUUUAAUGCAGAAUGACAAGGUGAUAGCAUAUGCCUCUAGAAAAUUGAAAUCGCAUGAAGGGAAUUACCCGACUCAUGACUUGGAGUUGGCAGCUGUGGUAUUUGUUUUGAAAAAAUGGAGACAUUAUUUAUAUGGAGUAACAUUUGAAGUCUUUACCGAUCACAAAAGCCUUAAGUACUUAUUUUCACAGAAGGAACUGAAUUUGAGGCAACGUAGACCGAUGGAAUUUUUGAAAGACUAUGACUGUACAAUUAAGUACCAUCCAGGGAAAGCUAAUAUAGUAGCUGAUGCUUUGAGUCGUCAAGUACAGAUGGUUGGAUUGAUGAUUAAGGAAUUCGAAUUGUUGGAAGAAGUUAGUCAGUGGAAUCCUCGACUGGAACCAAGGAAAGUAGUUUUCGGGAAUAUUGUAUUGAAUUCCAUUUUGAUGGAACGUAUCAGGGAAUCUCAAGGAAAGGACACUGAAGUGCAGAAGUGGUUGGAAAAGGUCAAAAAGGGAGACAAGUCGGACUUUAACCUGGGAUCGAAUGGGGUAUUGAGAUUUCGCAAUCGGGUAGUUGUACCAAAGGAUGAAGGGUUUAAAAAAGAAAUUUUAAAAGAGGCACACCGAUCAAAGUUUACGGUACAUCCAGGAGGGAAUAAAAUGUACCAAAACUUAAAGAGUCUGUAUUGGUGGGAGAGCAUGAAAAAGAAAAUUACUCGAUUUGUCCAAACAUGCUUAAUUUGUCAACAGGUUAAAGCCGAACAUCAGAAACCAUCAUGACUUUUGCAACCUCUAUAAAUACCUGAAUGGAAAUGGGAGAAUAUCACCAUAAAUUUUGUAUCGGAAUUACCACGAACACAGAGAGGCCAUGGUGCGAUCUGGGUGAUAGUGGAUAGAUUGACCAAAUCGGCUCAUUUUCUGCCGAUGAACCUGAAGUACCCAUUGGAGAAGUUGGCCAAGUUAUAUUUGGAUGAGAUCAUUAGGUUAUAUGGAAUCCCUGUCAGUAUCGUGUCGAAUAGAGAUCCAAGAUUUGUUUCGAGAUUCUGGCAAAAGAUGCAAGAAGUGUUAGGGACUAAGUUGAUCUUUAGUACUACUUAUCAUUCCCAGACCUAUGGACAGUCUGAAAGGACAAUUCUGACCCUUGAAGAUAUGUUGAGAACUUGUGUUCUGAAUUUUGGGGAGAGUUGGAGUAAGUUUUUGACCUUGGUGGAAUUUGCCUAUAACAAUGGCUUCCACUCUUCUAUUCAAAUGGCUCUAUGUGAAGCGCUUUAUGGCCGAAAGUAUAGAUCUCCGACUUGUUGGGAGGAAGUAGGUGAACGGAAGAUCUUAGAUCCGACCACAGUGUCAUGGGUUGAGGAAGCUAAUGAGAAGGUAAAGUUGGUACGCCAGAGAAUCCAGACUGCCCAGAGCCAUCAAAAGAGUUAUGCCGAUAAUCGGAGAAAGGAUUUAGAAUUCGUCGUUGGAGAUCUGGUGUUUCUCAAGAUCACACCGUUGAAAGCAAAUUUGCUGUCUGGAAAGGGAAAGAAGUUACAACCAAGGUUUGUAGGAUCUUAUAAGGUUAUUCAGCGUGUGGGGAAUGUAGCAUACAAAUUGGAAUUGCCGCUGAGUUUAUCUCGAAUCCAUAAUGUAUUCCAUGAGUUUAUGCUUAAGAAGUACCACUCAUACCCUUUACAUGUCUUACAACCAGAGAAUAUUGAGAUUGAUGAGACAUUAACCUAUGAGAAGGAAUUGGUUAAGCUUCUGGAUAGGAAGGUGAAGGAAUUGAGGAAUAAACAGAUACCAUUAGUAAAAUUCCUCUGGAAGAACCAUGGGUUGGAGGAAGCAAUUUGGGAGGUCGAAGAAGCAAUUCGAAAAAAGUAUCCAGGCCUUUUUACCAAUCAAGGUAAAUUUCGAGGACGAAAUUUUCUUAAGGGGGAGAGGAUGUGAUGUCUCACAAAAUUUUAUUUAUUUUAAAAUUCCAUUUUCGAGUUUAUUUAAACAUUUAAUUGCCCAUUUGUUUCGAUUAUUAUUUUCUAACCUUAUUAGAUUUAAAUACAUGGAAUUAUGACUUUAUUAUAUUUUUAAAGUGAUUCGUUUCAAAAAUUAAUUUUUGGAAGCUCGAAUAAUGUAAAUAGUGAAAACGUAUCUGAAAACUUUAACCAGUUGGGUGUACAAUAAGUUCGAAAAAUUGGAGACAUGUACUAUGGCCCUAAAAUAGGUAAUUUUAGGUUUAAAUACUCGAGUGAUAGUUAGUGGUACGAUCGUUAUAAGAAUUUCUCAAAGGUUUCACUCUAUCGCGCCUAAAUUGGAAAUACGCGUUUUUCACGCGCGUGAUUAAUUCAGAAACUUUAAACCAUUAUUUUGGGACAAUUAAUAGUGAAUAAUAUUCACAUGAAUAUAAGUGCAUUAGAGGUUUAGUGCACUAGUGAAAUAAACUCGAAAGAAAUCGAGCCCAAAACGCGCGCGUAUACAUGCGGAGGAGAGUUGACUUUUGCAUCAACUUGGGCCACACAUUGAAGCUUCUUAAGGAAGCUACACUUUUUAUCAACUCUCUCUCUCUUCCUCACAAGAAUAGCCGGCCAUCAAGCUGCAAAAACAACACCCAAGUUCUUCAUUUUUCAUCCUCAUUUCUUGAACGAAAAUACCACCAAUUGCCACCAAAAUUUAACCAUACUUAGCUUAACACUUAGAGAGUCCAUUUAGUUACAAAAGAAGGGAGCUUUCCACGGUUUCUUGGCCAAGAGAAGGACCGAAAUUUCUGCUUAGCUCAACAACCAAAGUAAGUAAUGAUCAAACCUUCUAGUUUUGAUUUAUGGAAGUUCUAGUACACCUUUAAGGUCUUGUAUGCAUGUGGGUGGUUUGUUUAUAAUGGAAAAAUGGUUGUGUGGGCUCUAUGAACUCCCACUUCGGUUGAUGGACUGACUUGGUGGUUGAUGAUGAUAAUUAUGUUGGUUUAGUGCUUAAAUUAGUGAUAUAAUGUUGGGUUAUUGUUAGAAACUCAAAGAUGGUGCAAUGGCCAAAAGUGACCAUUUUUCCCCUGUCUUGUUCGAGCACUUUAAUGCCAAAUUUUGAGGUUCUAAUGGCUUGUAUAUGUUGUUUACAUGUUAUAUUGAUUCUGUAAAAAGUUUCACGGAAAAAUAACAUGAUUUGGUUGGUCAAAUGAAGUGAUUUCCAAAAUUUAGAAAUCUGGAAAAAUUUCCCGUAUUGGCCCAGGCAGCCAUCUUGUUUCGGCCAUAACUUUUUACUCCGAUGUCGAAAUCGAGUACCGUUUGUUGCACUGGAAACUAGACAUUCCCAACUUUCCAUUGGCAUAAAAUUCGCAUUCUGGUUCCACUUGAGUGAGCCACACCAUUCGUUUCGAAAUCACUAUCCUGUUUCGCUCAUAACUGGAAGGCAGAUUAUGAACUGUGAUUUGAUGCUCAAAAAUGAGCUAGUUGUGAAUGGAUUUUGAAAAUGGUUUCUUCUAUGAAAUUAUAGCUUGAUGAAAGUGUUUUCCAACUCCACCAACCAUGCUCAAUUCUAAGUUGAAUUGAGUGAGUUGUGGCCAAUGUUUGAAACUGACUCAAAGAGAGGAUUUCUCCUUUUGAACUAAAUCCUUAGCUAAUCUUGGUUUGGGACUUGUACUCGAAAAUUUUUGGUGUUAAUCACCCCAAAUGUUGUCUUGAACACCUCUUAGAUAUUUGUAUGCAAAUGGACCAUGCUCGAGGUACCCUUUAGGCCAAACGUCUUAAAAAAGGCAAAACGGAACUCACAAGACAUUUUGCCUUGGAAAUUUUGAAAUCUUAGUGAUUUAGUUCACCAACCUUCCGUGCAUUUCUAUUUGUGAAAUUUGGUAGAGGGAUAGCCCUUAUAUGGUAGAAUAAUCAUACCAAAUUUGGUGAUAUUUUGAAACCGUUCGAUGUUCAACUGAACUUCCAAAGUUCAAGAAUCCUAUUUGGAAAACCCUUGUUUAACAAGGAAAUUUUGGUAACUUUGGGUCACCAUAUCUUGGUGCCCAAAACUUCAAUCUUCAUUUCACUUGUUCUAUUAUAAACUUGGCAUGCGACUCUAAUAGAGAUCCAAAUUUCUGAGGCUAGUUCAAAUCGAGUGAAUUUUGCCGAAUUUUCAAAGUUAACCAAAAACCAACUUGAACCCACCUUGAUAACGCAAGUUAUCAUCUUCAAGCUCAAAUUUGAAUACCUUCUGCUUAGAUUUGUGGAAUAGUUCCUUCUAAGAAUUUUUAGUACAUUAAAGAAGUUUCCAACGGUACCAAAUUUACCAAUUUUUGACAGUCGAGGAGUGAGUUAUGAUUUUUCAAAAAUUGUACCAAAAAUCGAAUAUUGUGAACGUUUGAAAUGAAAUCUGCACGGGAAGCAUUUUGCUGGAAUCCGGCCUUGAAUCCAAACAGUUUUUGGCUGGAUAGUCGGCCGGAUUGCUGUAGGGAUUUGAAAAAAAUUGAGGAUGGCUACUGCCUCCAAUCCGGCCAAGAAUCCGGCCGGAUUGUGACAUGGCCAGUCCACUUUCGACUUCGAUCGUUCGUUUCGAGAUUUAUUCGUACGUACUCGUUCCCAUCCAAUGAUUUUAAGGAUAGUAAAACCAUUUUAUUUUACUCGAGUCUUAUCACUCGUUCAAGUUUCGAUUUUUUUUAAAAAAAAAGGGAAACCGAUCUCGAUUUUCCAAGGAACUUAGACUCGAUUUUCGAAGUACUUUCCAGAUCGUGCUAGUGUACAAUUCUCCUCAUUGUUUGGGGAUUGUUAGUGAUAGUCUAUUGUUAAUUGCUCAGGCACCCAAGAGGAACUUCAAGAGGAUCCCACGGUAGAUGCUUGAACUUCGAGUGCCUUUUUCUUCUCGUUUUAAUUGGUGAGUGUCAAGUAUGUGUUACUUGAACUCUUAUGAACUUGAUACAUGUAUACUUGUUAUUGGUACUUGAGAUUUUAAAAUUCGAGACAGGGGUGUACUUUAUCGCACCCGUGCUCGCUUGAAAUAAAUGACUCGCACUUGAAAUACUCGAAUGUCUCAAUUGCUUGCACAUGUUACUUGCUUGCUUGACUUGAAAUAGUAUGCUAUGGCUGCAUACGUCGUUGGAGUGAAUUUCCUCGACACUCAAACAUACUUGGGGGACGCUCACAUCUCAUUGGCGAACCUUUGACUCGAGCCAACAUGGGUUUGGUCGGGCUCCUUAGUAAACCAUGGAGAAAACUUGAAAAGCUUGAUCUAGUGAGAGAUCUUGCUUGGCAUAUUCGAAGAGUAUUGCCUUAAACAAAUGACAGGCGGGCCCGAAACAGGGGUAUGUAAGGUGAAAGGGGACAGGUUAAGUGGAGUUCUACGGACUAAACCUAUCCGAUUGACGGAGUGUCAAUUCAUGGAGGUUAUUGAUCGUGCUAGUGGAACAUAGCUCCUGAGAGCUCCAGUAUCCUUGAAUUGUGAUAAGUGACUAAUUUACGUAAUAAUUGUAUGAUAUUUUAUAUUAUUUUUAGUCACUUUGGGUAUAUUAUUGGAAGAAAAUGAUUCAUUUUGGCUAUAAUUGGUAUAAAAUGCUUUUAAGUGGUUAAAUGAGGUUUUUAUCACUUUUUACUUGGAUUUUGUGUAUUUUGACAGUUUUGACACAUUUUCGUAUUUCGGCUAUAACUUGAGUUACAAUGAUCGGAUUGGGAUGAUUCUUGAACCCAUUUGAAGAUAAGAGAUAGAUCUAUAACUUUGGUGAAGACAUCUGAAUCCAGUUUGAAGGUUUUCCAGGUCAAAAAACCGAAGUACAGAGUCAAUUGCUAUUGGUCGAAACUGGAACAAGGCAUGGAGCAGGCAAGGGUAUUUCCAUCAUAUCUCAGCCUACACAGAUCCAAAUGAGGUGAUUCUUGAUGCAUUGGAACGAUAACGCAUAAGGCUACAACUUUCGUGUUUUAGACAUGAGCUGGUUCAGCCUCUAACAUCAAGAAAAGAUCGGUUGAAAUUGGGCCAAAAACAGAGCAAGUGAUCCACACUCGGAUCCACUAUUCAUCCGAACCCUCGGCUGUUUCUGGGUUAGUGGAUCCGAGCUCGGAUCCGUAUGGAUCCGAGGUACUGUAGCAGCUCGGAUCACUAUAGCAGCCCAGAUUUACUGUAGCAAUCCGGCAGGAAUUUGGCCGGAUUUGUGGCCGGAUUCCUGGCCGGAUUGUGGUCAGAGAAGGCUGCUUUUUACGCGGAAAACUCAAUUUCACCUCCACCAACUCACAUGUGAUGCUACACAUGUGAGAAACAUUCCCAGCUGCUGUAAAAGGGAGUUGAAAACAUCAUUUUUGACCAACCUUUCCAUCAUUAAGAGCAAAAUUCAGGGGAAGGAGAAGAGAUAGAGAAAUCCAUAGCAGAAAAAUAGGAGAGAGACAUACGGGAGAAGCUUGGUCUGCAAAAUGUAGCUCUUUCAUCUUCCUAGUUAGUUUAGUUUAGCUAGUAGUUCAUCCAUUCUUGUUAUUAGCUAGAUUAAGAAGAAGAUGGAGGAUGAAGAAGGCAAGGAAGAAAGCUCAUGUGACAAGGGUUGUAUUCCUUCCAAAAUCUUUAUCUUUUGUACUUGAUUCUAAGUUUAGUUAAUAUACAAGUUCUGGAUUUUGUGUUAUUUAUGUGUCUCUAAAGUUUAUGCCUUGGGUUUGGUUGAACUUCCUAUGAUUGUUAGUGUUUAUUAUUUGGUUAUUUGAUUGCUAUGAUUUGAGCAAGUUAUUUAGCACUUUGGCUUCUUAAAUCAUGAUUAAUCUGGUACCAUUAAUUAUGAUUAUCUAAGGUGUUGUUUCUGCAAUGAAAAUUGAGAUUUAACACUAGUUCAAGAGGUGCUAAACAUAGGGAGUACACUCACGAAAGUAGAGGUGCACUUAUGUGAUUUUUAGUGAUUCAUUUCAUGUAAUUUCAUUGAAGAAAUGAACUUGUAGCUAAUUUCAUAACCAUGAAAAUAGGUAUGGAUUAGUUAUGAGUAUAGUUGAUUCACUACGAAAGUAGGUUUCACAUGUUUAAGGAAAUUACACUAUAACUAGUCUAGAUGUAGUACUAAAUGAUCCAAAUAUAGCAUUUGCAUGAGUAGUUAGGGAUACCACAACCUAAGGAGCUUUUAUUUGUUAUUUUGUAUAAUUUUAGUAGGUUAAAUUUGUUAUAAUUCAUUGAUAGUCUAAAUAAUAGAGAAGCUUUAGUAAUACCGGUAAUUGUUCACUCUUCCCUGUGGGAUCGACCCGAUAUAUACCCUAAACUACUAGUUGAUCUGUAUACUUGCAGUGAACGGGUGUAAUUCGGUAUUUUUUAGCUGGCACGUAUGUAAAAUACCCGUCAAGUUUUUGGCGCCGUUGCCGGGGAAGAUUUGGCAAUAUCGGUGUGAAGAGUAACUUUAUUAGUUUAGACAUAUUAUUAGUUAUACUGGGAAUAUUAUUUUCUGUGUUUUAUAUGUGUAUGUGUUUUAUCACCUAUUCUUCUUACUAAUUUUGCUCUUAAGUUGUUUAAAAGCAAUUUUAGGUAAUGAGAAGGGUAGGUCAAUUUGGAGGACAAUGCUUGAGAAGUGGAAGAUUGGAAAUGGAUGGUUACCAAGUGCAAAACUCCUUCAACAGAGGUAACCAAGAAUUUACUGAAUGUAUGUCUUUUGAAGAUGGUUUAAGGUGCUUAAAGGCAAAAUUUGAUGUAAUUAAAUUACAAGUUCAAAUGGACACCAUGAUGCAUGAAAUUGAACAGAGGAGGAAUGUUAAUGUUUUUAAUUCUUAUCAUGUGAUUUGUGACUUGUGUGGAGGUUAUCAUGCUACUAAUACAUGUAUGCAAGUACAAAAUGUGGAUUAUUAUGAUGAAUUAGAGCAUUACAAUCCUUGUUUUGAUCAAUAUAGUGCUAAUUGGAGCAAUUCUCCUGCUCAUGGUUGGAAUAAUCAAUGUACUUAUAGUGAUAAUUCAUAUUUUUAUGAUCACCAACCUGAAAGUGUCCAAUAUGAAUCAAAACCAUCUUGGGAGUUGGCAAUAGAGAAGUUAGCUAAUACACCUCUGCCUUGGGAGUUAAAAAGUGAACCAUUAGCUAAUGAUUCUAAUGCAUCUUGGGAGCUAGCUGUAGAAAAUUUUUCUAAUCAAUUUGAUUUAGCAUUAGAAAAGCUAGCAAAUCCGAUCUUUUUGAUAGGAUUGAGGAAAGAAUAGAUGAAUUAGCUUCUCACUUUGGUCGAAUACAUGAGCAAUUGAGUGCAUUGUGUGAAGUUAUUUCCUCUAAUAAUGUGCAAAAUGAUCCUAGCAUGAAUGGUAGGAAUGUUGUAUGUGAAAAUGGGUUGUAUUUUGAUCAAAAUGAUGAUUCUAACUUGUGUUUCAAUGAGAAAAUGUCCAUUUCACAUAAUAAUAUCUAUGGAGCUAACUUUGAAUCUCAAGAGAUGAGUUUUAAUGACUCAUUUUUCACCCCUCUUGAGGAGUGCAUUGAAAGUAUAGGUUCUAAGGGUAUUGCUGCCCAAGAUACUCUCAUGACAUUUCCUUUGGUGAAUUCUCAAGUGGUGCAUAUUCAAGGUAAUAUCUAUGAAAUACUUGGGAUAGGUAAGUCACUUCCAUUUCUCACAUCAUUAGAUCAUGUGGCUUUUUCUAUUAAGUCACCUUACAAUGAUCCACCAAGGCUUAAAAUGGUGGAUUAUUCGUUAACUAAACCUCCUUGAAAAAUGAGGUGAUAUAGUCAAGCUAUUGACUUUAAAAAAGCGCUUAUUGGGAGGCAAUCCAAUGCUUAUUUAAGUUGGUGUUACUUUGGAGUGAUUUUAUGUUUAAAGUAUAAGUUUGAGUAAUUUUGUUGUUUUUCAUUUGUAGGUUUUGGAAAAGUGACCAAAUGAGGUGAAAAGACGAAGUUUGAUCAAAGAUCUCAAUACCUCAAAUUCAGUAAUUAUGGUUUUUGAUGCAUUAAAGAGGUUUAGAAUGCAUGUUUAGAUCAUUUUACAUAUGCGUGAAUGGUUUAUUUUGACAUAGAAAUGAUCUAGGGUGUAUUUUGAAAAUUUGAGGUAAAACUGAAAAUUGCAAAAAUUCUGCAAAAAUUGCAGAUUCAAUGGAUCCGAGCUCGGAUCCACUUCUGCAAUCAGAAAUUUUUUUUUCCAACUCACUGGCCAGAAUCCGGCCGACAAUCCGGCCGGAUAUCCGGCCGAAAAUUGGCCGGAUUCUGUCCAGUUUUGCGCAAAAAGAGGAAUCCGCGCACGGAUUCCCCAUUUUCUUUUUCCUCUCUUCUUCAACUUACACACGCACUCACACCUAAAACACACACUACUCACUAAACUCACUCUUUUCACCAUCCAAUCUUCAAACCAAGUAUACCAAAACACUUUUUUUUUCACUUGAGAGAUGAUUUCAUAGCUAAAAAUUCUUCAAAAACAAGUCUAAAUUCGGAUUUGAGCUUAGCAAGAACAAGGGUUUCAAAUUUUUGAACUAUCCAUUUGAGGCCGAAUUGGAGUGAAAUUUUUGGGGGUUUCUUCACCAUUUGCAUCCAUAAUCAUCAACCAACAAGUUUGAGGUAACAAAUCUUCACCAAAUGUUGUCAUUUGAAUUUUGCCAAUUUUUAUUUUUUUUAUUUUUGGGCAAUUUCGAAUUUUUUUUCAUUUUGUGAAGUUUGGUGCUUUACAUUGUGUUUAUUGAACUUAUUGAUGAUUAUUGGUGAUAUUUAACUCAUGAGUUUGUGAUUAUUUGGUGAAUUUUUGCUAAUUUUAUGCUUAAUUUGGCUUGGUGACCAAGUUGCAUAUUAAGUGGCCAAUGUAGCAUUUUAAUUAGCUUUGUGGGAGUUUAUGAUAUUCAUGUGAGUAAUUUAGAUUACCUAAUGAAUGAAAAGGUGCUUGGUUGAAUAAUUUCUUGAAUUCUUAGGUAAUUCUAAAAGAAGAGAAAAUGGCCUUAAUUGAUGAAAUUCAUAAAUGCACUUAUAAUCCUUGUGGUUCAAUGGUUUUUAGUAUUUCAUGAAUUCUCAAGAAGGUCAUUUAUAUUUUGGCUUGGUGUGUUUGCCUCCAUUUUGAGAUUACUUUUGUACUUGCGGGGAUUUGAUCAUUGAUGGCAAAAUGUAUAAAUGGAACUUAUUUUGUUCAUGAUUGUGGAUUUUUUGUGUGACAUUAGCUUCCCUUUGCUUUGGAUACUAAUGCAUAUAUUUGAUUAGCAAAGAUUAGCUCAUUUUAUGUUUUUAUCCCUUGAACAUUGUAUGGUUCCACAUGCUUGAUCAUUUUUCCUUUUUCCUUGAAUUGCAUGAUUUUGUUGAUUGCAACCUUUUAUUUUUAAGAAAUUUAUUUGUUUUGAUUUUGUCUUUUUCAGGGUGCAAUAAGUGAACUUCCAUUCUUUCUCAAAUACGGUUGGAAAUUCAUCACUUGGACAUGGAUUCGGAUUGCGCAAGUCAUAAGGGGAGUAUUUUCUUUUACUCUUUCUUUAUUUUCCUUUUCUCACAUUGAGGACAAUGUGAAGUUUAAGUGUGGGGGAGGAAAUAUGUGAACUUGCAUUCUAAUGCUAUGUGAUUAUAUUUUGUGGAUUUAAAUGCUUAGAAAUAUUGGAAUUGUGUUUGAAUUAUUUGCCAUGUGGAUAAUUUGCCUGAAAUUGGGUUUGUUGGCAGGGAGUUUUCUUCCAUUUAUAUGGGGAAAUUCCGUCAAAAUUUGUCUAACAUCUUGUCCAAUAUGUCACUAUGGCCCAAAAGUUCUUCAAAUUUUUGCAUUUUCAUUCAAAAAGGGCUAAUUUGUUCCAACUUUAAAUGUUUUUAUUCUUCCAAUUGUUGAAACUUUAUGUGUAUUUUGGAAGGUUUAGUCCUCAUUUAACUUGGAAAUAGUUAUUAUGCAAUUAGAAUUUUUACAUUUUAGAAAGUAUAUUUGGUAAAGUGAGGAAAAUUAUGCCUAUAAUUUUACAUGUUUAAUGAGAUUUCUUCUCUUUACUUAAUUUUGCAAGUAAGUGAUUGACAUAGUUGAUAAAAGGUUAUACUCCUCCUUUGAUUAGUCUUAUAUAUUUUCUAAGAGGGAAUAUCUAUUUAUUGUCCUUUAGUUUAAAAAAAAAAAGAAAAGAAAAGAAAGAAAAAAUUAUUCUACUCCAAUGAUUUUUGUACCGAGUAACCGGGGGUUGGCAUCUACAAAUGUCGAUUUUCGCGUAAAAAGGUACUUGAAUUAAGAAUAUGCAUUGCAACUUGAAUAAGUGAAAUGUUGAGUAACCGGGAAUCUUCACCUAAAAGUGUCGAUUUUCGCGUAAAAAGGCAUUCUCACUAAUUAAGUAAAAUUAGUAUGAAUAAAUCCCUCUUAGAUGUAAAAUUUUGAGAAAAGGAUGAUUAUAGGAGGAGGAAGGCUAUAAAUCGACUUUGUGGGUUGCUUAUUUGUGAAAUUAGGUUAGGGUAAGAGAUUAAGUUUAACUUGUUGAAUUUAGGAUAUAAUUAUCUUUUCUUUACUUGAUAUUAUGAGUAUUUAGUGUAAAUUGAAUAAUUAUAUAAUAAUUAUUUUCCAAGUCUUGAGGAAUUAAAUUGGACAAAGUGCAUAUAUUGUUUCACCUCUUGAAUCAUUGCAUUUGAUUAUGUGUGAAUUGCUUGAGGACAAGCAAUGAUUUAAGUGUGGGGGAGUUUGAUAAGUGACUAAUUUACGUAAUAAUUGUAUGAUAUUUUAUAUUAUUUUUAGUCACUUUGGGUAUAUUAUUGGAAGAAAAUGAUUCAUUUUGGCUAUAAUUGGUAUAAAAUGCUUUUGUUCAAUUAAAUGAGAUUUUUAUCACUUUUUACUUGGAUUUUGUGUAUUUUGACAGUUUUGACACAUUUUCGUAUUUCGGCUAUAACUUGAGCUACAAUGAUCGGAUUGGGAUGAUUCUUGAACCCAUUUGAAGAUAAGAGAUAGAUCUACAACUUUGGUGAAGACAUCUGAAUCCAGUUUGAAGGUUUUCCAGGUCAAAAAGCCGAAGUACAGAGUCAAUGGCUAUUGGUCGAAACUGGAACAAGGCAUGGAGCAGGCAAGGGUAUUUCCAUCAUAUCUCAGCCUACACAGAUCCAAAUGAGGUGAUUCUUGAUGCAUUGGAACGAUAACGCAUAAGGCUACAACUUUCGUGUUUUAGACAUGAGCUGGUUCAGCCUCUAACAUCAAGAAAAGAUCGGUUGAAGUUGGGCCAAAAACAGAGCAAGUGAUCCACACUCGGAUCCACUAUUCAUCCGAACCCUCGGCUGUUUCUGGGUUAGUGGAUCCGAGCUCGGAUCCAUACGGAUCCGAGGUACUGUAGCAGCUCGGAUCACUGUAGCAGCCCAGAUUUACUGUAG
rnacentral:lncRNA from 1 species